UGGAUCAAUCAUUAGACAAUAUACACAAGAGCUUUAAUCAUCCAAACGGAGAAAACACAAAGACACCGACAAUUACCGCCGCACCACCAUUAACCGCCGUUGUCAUGAUUCCACCACCAUGACACCAACUUCGCCGUUGUAUCUACGCGUCUCUGUUGUUCAGGCCACCCAACCGCCACGAUUCAGGUCGCUACCGCGACUGUUGUGCUACACCGCCACCAUCAGUCCGACUAGUGUUAUUAACACCGCACCACCGUCAGUACUCUGCCAUGAUCGCCAGUAGCACUCACUUUCCGUUAAGUCAAAUGGGAUUUACGAACAUCCGCUCCGUCGUAACUACUGCAACUUCACCAUGAACUAGUCUGUUGCCGUCACCACUUGACAUUUUCUGAUUAAUCGUCUGACAACUCUAUUCGUUGGCCUCCGGUCAACCGUGUUCGGUUAUUAAGGGGAUAUAGGUUCACGACGAUUUAAUUUCUGUGUUGCUUUGCUAAACCUAAGGUAAUAUGGGAUGACCUGGGAUUUCAGUGAAGAGCGUUAGGAAGUUGCUAGUCAAGAUUCUUUAUUUCAGUAAUGUAAUAAAUGUAAUUAGGAUCUUUUAUUUAAUGCUAUGCAUUGGUAUUUGGUUUUGAUAUCUGUAAGAGUGACACGUCAGCCCUAUUCGGGUCGGGGUGUUACACAACACAUCUUUUAAACUUGUU